AGCAACUAAACAAAACUUGGCGUUACUGUCAUUGUUGAUUUGGGUCGCUUCUACUCCGACAAGAGUCAUGUCUUCCGGCGGAGACGGCGGCGGUGGUGGUAAGCUUUUCUUCUGCCACGUGUGCAGUCGGAGAGUUACUUGCUCAGAUGAUUCCGAACCUUUCUGCCCAAUUUGCCUCCAAGGUUUCGUUGAAGAAUAUGUUCCCAAUCCCGAACCUAACCCUAGCCCUAGCUUCACUUUCAGCUUUAACCAAGAUCCUUCCUCCGAUUCCGAUUUUCCCCUCCACCCCUUAUCUCUUCUCCCUCUAUUGCUAUCCUCUGCUUCGAUAUCUAGGACCCGACCCGAAUCCGAUAAUUUCGACCCGUUCGUUUUCCUUCAGAAUCACCUUCAUGACCUUCACGCCGACGGAGCCAACAUUCAAUUCGAGAUCAAUCAUCCUUCCGAAACCGGAACCGAACCAGGGUUUCGAAUCCCAUCCAACAUCGGCGAUUACUUCCUCGGUCCUGGACUCGAGCAAUUGAUUCAGCAGCUCGCCGAGAAUGAUCCUAACCGUUAUGGAACACCGCCGGCGUCGAAAGACGCCGUUCAGAAGCUUCCGACUGUUACUGUCGACGAUGAGUUGUUGAACUCGGAGUUGAACCAGUGUGCUGUUUGUCAGGAUGAGUUUGAGAAGGGUUCGCAGGUGAAGCAAAUGCCUUGUAAGCAUGUUUAUCAUGAUGAGUGUUUGCUUCCAUGGCUUCAAUUGCAUAACUCUUGUCCUGUGUGUCGAUAUGAAUUGCCAACUGAUGAUGCUGAUUAUGAGAAUCGGGCGAGGGGGGAUGGUGGUGAUGGGUUGAGGUCUGUUGUUGAUGGUAAUGGUAGUGGUGGUGGAGGAAAUAGACCGGUUCAUAGGACUUUUAGAAUAUCUUUGCGGUAUCCUUUUGGUGGAGGUGAAUAUGCUCAGGACUCUGGUGAAAGGGGAUCGGGAAAUAGGCAAGAAGAUUUGGAUUGAAAAUUGUAAGUAUCUAGAAAGAAAUUAUACAUUCAAAAGAUAAAGCAAACUACAUCAUAUCCAUGGUAAAAAUUUGGAUUGGCUGUUGAUUUUGAAAUUCUGUAGCUGGAUCAUCAAUUACUGACAGAUAUAUAUCAACCAAGUUGCAUCCAUGCUAUUGUUUAGUGCUGAAAAACAGGGAGCUAUCUUAUGCAGCUCAUGGUGUCCGUGAAUAGGUUACAUGCAUUGUUAUUAUGUUCAUAGAAGUUCUUGUAAGGAUACAAUCCGCGGCUAGUAAACUUGUCCAAUUAAAGGUCCUUUUUCCAAUCUAUUGGAUAGCUGGAAAAUGGUAUUUUGAGACGGUACACAGUUUUAGAGAUUUUAGAGUCGAUAGCAAAAAAUUUAUGUUGUUUUUUAUGUACAGAUUAUCUUCGCCAAUGAUCCAAUGGUGAUUGUUAUCCUUUA